rnacentral:rRNA from 1 species
GGCGUCGAGCGGCGGACGGNUGAGUAAUACUUAGGAAUCUACCUAGUAGUGGGGGAUAGCUCGGGGAAACUCGAAUUAAUACCGCAUACGUCCUACGGGAGAAAGCAGGGGAUCAUUANACCUUGCGCUAUUAGAUGAGCCUAAGUCGGAUUAGCUAGAUGGUGGGGUAAAGGCCUACCAUGGCGACGAUCUGUAGCUGGUCUGAGAGGAUGAUCAGCCACACCGGGACUGAGACACGGCCCGGACUCCUACGGGAGGCAGCAGUGGGGAAUAUUGGACAAUGGGGGGAACCCUGAUCCAGCCAUGCCGCGUGUGUGAAGAAGGCCUUUUGGUUGUAAAGCACUUUAAGCAGUGAAGAAGACUCUUCGGUUAAUACCCGGGGACGAUGACAUUAGCUGCAGAAUAAGCACCGGCUAACUCUGUGCCAGCAGCCGCGGUAAUACAGAGGGUGCAAGCGUUAAUCGGAAUUACUGGGCGUAAAGCGAGCGUAGGUGGCUUGAUAAGUCAGAUGUGAAAUCCCCGGGCUUAACCUGGGAACUGCAUCUGAAACUGUUAGGCUAGAGUAGGUGAGAGGGAAGUAGAAUUUCAGGUGUAGCGGUGAAAUGCGUAGAGAUCUGAAGGAAUACCGAUGGCGAAGGCAGCUUCCUGGCAUCAUACUGACACUGAGGCUCGAAAGCGUGGNUAGCAAACAGGAUUANAUACCCUGGNAGUCCACGNCGUANCGAUGUCUACUANUCGUUGGGUCCCUUGAAGAANUUAGUG